rnacentral:rRNA from 1 species
ACGCUGGCGGCGUGCCUAACACAUGCAAGUCGAGCGAGGGUUUGCUCAGUAUUGAGUAUUCUAAGACUAGAAUGUUCAAUUCUGAGCAAAACCAAGCGGCGGACGGGUGAGUAACGCGUGGGUAGCCUGCCCUAUACACAUGGAUAACAUACUGAAAAGUUUACUAAUACAUGAUAAUAUAUAUUUGCGGCAUCGCAGAUAUAUCAAAGUGUUAGCGGUAUAGGAUGGACCCGCGUCUGAUUAGCUAGUUGGUGAGAUAACUGCCCACCAAGGCGACGAUCAGUAGCCGACCUGAGAGGGUGAUCGGCCACAUUGGAACUGAGACACGGUCCAAACUCCUACGGGAGGCAGCAGUGGGGAAUAUUGCACAAUGGGCGAAAGCCUGAUGCAGCAACGCCGCGUGAACGAUGAAGGUCUUCGGAUCGUAAAGUUCUGUUGCAGGGGAAGAUAAUGACGGUACCCUGUGAGGAAGCCCCGGCUAACUACGUGCCAGCAGCCGCGGUAAUACGUAGGGGGCUAGCGUUAUCCGGAUUUACUGGGCGUAAAGGGUGCGUAGGUGGUCCUUCAAGUCGGUGGUUAAAGGCUACGGCUCAACCGUAGUAAGCCGCCGAAACUGGAGGACUUGAGUGCAGGAGAGGAAAGUGGAAUUCCCAGUGUAGCGGUGAAAUGCGUAGAUAUUGGGAGGAACACCAGUAGCGAAGGCGGCUUUCUGGACUGCAACUGACACUGAGGCACGAAAGCGUGGGUAGCAAACAGGAUUAGAUACCCUGGUAGUCCACGCUGUAAACGAUGAGUACUAGGUGUCGGGGGUUACCCCCCUCGGUGCCGCAGCUAACGCAUUAAGUACUCCGCCUGGGGAGUACGCACGCAAGUGUGAAACUCAAAGGGAUUGACGGGGACCCGCACAAGUAGCG